CCAAUCCUUGUCUGGGAGAGCAAAAUGCCCAAUGAACGUCUAGUGAGAGCAUUGCUGCUAACACCCAUUUACAAAAAAAAAACCUGGGGUCAGUUCUCAGCGGGACACAUCAGCAGAGGCAGCAUUUUCCUGAAGA